AUGUGACUGAGCAUAUUUUUACUCAAAAAUUUAGUUAAAUCUUAAAAUUAACUGAAAUUCUGUUUAACUUACAGCCUCCUCUGCAGAUCUCUUGUAGGACUUGACCUUCAACUGGAGUUUGUCAACCAAGUCCUGAAGACGAGCCAGAUUCUUCUUAUCUUCCUCAGUCUGCAAAUGGAAUCAAGUUGUACAAAGAUCCUGUUGGGGAAUCCUUUUCUGCAGAUUCGGAUGCCCUCCAGCACACCGUUACAGCGCAGCUGGUGCAUGACCAGAGGAUUCUCCAUCGCCCCAGGAGUUUUCGUCUCAUUGGGGAUGAUGCAGCGCACAAAGUGAGGAACUACAGAUAAUGAACUGAAGAAGCAGCACUCAGCCACACUGAACAAGCCUUUCAGCAAGAUCCAUUGCAAUCCUUCAGCUUCACUCUUCAUCGUGCCCUUUCUGUGAGAGGAAAAGACAUCAAAAGGGUUUUGGAUAUGAAGGAUCCUGUUGGGGAAUCCUUUUCUGCAGAUUCGGAUGCCUUCCAGCACACCGUUACAGCGCAGCUGGUGCAUGACCAGAGGAUUCUCCAUCGCCCCAGGAGUCUUCGUCUCAUUGGGGAUGAUGCAGCGCACAAAGUGAGGGAUUGACGUCUCAUAAAAUCAAUGAGAAGGAGGACAGCUGCAGUUUUGUAUGCAGUCAGUGUAGAGGACAUUUAGAGGAUACCUGUUGAUCUUAACUGUUCACCAGUGAUACAUCGUUACAGAACUUGACCUGUAAAGAAGGACACAACACAAAUAAAUAUGGAUCCUGUUGGGGAAUCCUUUUCUGCAGAUUCGGAUGCCCUCCAGCACACCGUUACAGCGCAGCUGGUGCAUGACCAGAGGAUUCUCCAUCGCCCCAGGAGUUUUCGUCUCAUUGGGGAUGAUGCAGCGCACAAAGUGAGGGUGAGUGGACCUCAAAUUAGUCAUCAACUUGUUCAGGUUCUCCUGUGAGCAGAAUUCAUGUAAUCAUUUUCUCUGAAUGGUUUACAUUAAUGUUUAGCUUUUACAUUUAGUGUUUCAUAAUGCCAAGUGCACGAGUACUUUAACCCUUACCCUAUGGAGAGCAGACACAGUUUGGAAAGAAGAACCUUUUUUCUUUUUCUUUUCUUUCUCUUUACCACCACUUUCCUGCGAAACUUUAAAGUAAAAAAAAAAUUCUCUAACAUGAAAAGCAUAAAGCAAUUCAGAAUACUAAUUUCUGUGUUCAAAAGACUAUCUUGGACUAUCUGUUUUAAAUAGACCCCAAAUCCUUUUUUCAUUAUAAUCAAUUAAAACAUUUCUUAUAAAAUGUGCAAAGUGUUUUGUCUGUAUGUAACGCUACAGUGCAGUUUGGACACAUCACUAAUCUUAGAGAACCCAUGUGAGUCUAAGCAGGUGUAAAAUACUGUGGAUAAGAUUCUGGAAGGUCUUUAAAACUGAUCGCAAAUCCACUUAUAUUUAAUAGACUUCUCACCCGAAUAACGGUUGAAAUUUGCUCUUACCCGAAUCAGCGCUGGCAUAGUUUGCAAACAGGUUAGAAAGUAGUUUCAUGGUGGACUUCUGAUAAAGGCCAACAACAGUCUCAUUCAGAGGAUCCUUGUUCUUCACCAGCCAGUUAUUGAUGUUGUAGUCAACAGUGCCAGCAUAGUGAAUUAGGGAGAAAUGAGCCUCUGGUUUACCCUUGACAAUCCUGGGCUUCUGGAAAUUGUUUGAUUUCCCCAAGUGGUUGUCAUAAAGCUUAGCUUUAAAUGUUUGAUCACUGGCUUUGGGGAACAUGCACUCCUCUUCAAGGAUCGACAUGAUACCCAUGGGCUGUUGAGAAUUGGUUGGUUUUGGUGGGUUUAUUUAAAUAAAUACGUAACAAUUUGGAUAUUAAAUAAUGCUUCAAUAUUAAAUUAGUGCCUUUGACCUUGUACCUUUUCAAUAAGAUCAAUGCAAGCCUGCAAGUCCAUGCCAAAGUCGAUGAACGUCCAUUCAAUUCCCUCCUUCUUGUAUUCUUCUUGCUCCAGCACAAACAUGUGGUGGUUGAAGAACUGCUGCAACUUCUCAUUAGUGAAGUUGAUGCACAGCUGCUCAAAGGUGUUGAACUGCAAAUGGAAUAGAUUGUGUGAUCACAACACUGCCACUGCAUGUGAAUGUGAAUAACAAUAAUCAGUUAAUAUUAGCUUACUUCAAAGAUCUCAAAUCCAGCAAUGUCCAGCACACCAAUGAAAUACUGGCGAGGCUGCUUGGUGUCCAGGGAUUGGUUGAUUCUAACAACCAUCCAGAGGAACAUCCUCUCAUACACUGAUUUGGAAAGAGCGCCAACGGCAUAGUAGACCUGUCCAAUAAGAAUGAUACAUAACAUCUUGAAAAUGUGUUAAUGUAUUGUGUUUACAGUUAAUUGUAAUGAUGCCAUGAAAGCGUAACCACCUGCUGGACAUUUUGUCCCUUGGUGACCCACUCAUUUCCUACUUUAACUCUCGGAUGGCACAAAGACUUGAUAAGAUCAGCAGAGUUCAGGCCCAUCAGAUAAGCUGAUUUAUCAGCAUCUGUUGUCAAUAUUAGAAAGUGGUUGAAUGAAGCCAGCAACCAAUAACUACACGUAACACAUGUAGGAUUUUAUCUUAAUACUGACCCUCAGUCCCAUCAGCCUCGGCCUGUUCCUCUCUUUGCUUCUGUUUGAACUUCAUGUUGCCGUAGUGCAUGAUGGCACCAGUUAGCUUGUAGAUGCUGUUCUUCUCCUCUUGGGUGAAGCCCAACACAUCAAAAGCUUCCUAGAGCAAAUAUACAGUGUCUGUUUAAAUUCAUGACACAAUAAAAGCCACAUAAUCAGUUUUCUUUGUAAACGUACAUCAGUGGCCAUCAGCUCAUCAGCAUCAUUAAUAGAGGCCACUUGUGUUUCUCCUUGGGAGAUGAAGGCAUAGUCAUAGGGGUUUGCUGUGAUCAGUAACAUCUCUAAAAUAGAUAACACACAACAAUUAUAAAUCAUUAAGUAAUGUGCUUUGUUUGAAAUGUUAUAGAUGUUUUACCCAGCACAUAUUUGUUCACCUAACAGUUCUGGUUUCUUCUGAGACAGGAUCUGGUAGAAGAUGUGGUAGUCUCUCUCAGCCUUCAGCUGGAAAGUCACACGAGACUUCUCCAGAAGAUCUGUCAUGCACAGUAUUUGCAUUAAAAGCAUGAAUUUCAUUGCAUCCCAAGAAACAUGUGUGGAUGAAACAGUGCUCUUACAAGUUUCAAUAUCUGCAGAAGCGAGUUUUCCACUUGCAGCAAAAUGGAUUCGGAUAAAUUUGCCCUGUUUGAAAGGAUAACCAUCAGCAAGUUUAUCUCUGACAUUAAAUCUGUCAAUCAGUUUUUACUGCCAUUUCAUUAACUUACAAAUCUGGAUGAGUUGUCAUUUCGGAUGGUCUUGGCAUUACCAAAGGCCUCCAGAGCAGGGUUACACUGGAUGAUUUGAUCCUCCAGAGUUCCCUAAAAACAAUAUUUCCAAUAAGUUAAAUAAGUGCUUGUUUAUGGUGGCAAUCAAACAAAAAGGCAGUGAAGUGUAUAAGUCUCUGGUAACCUUUUUGUCAGUGGUUUCUUUCCUUGUAGGACAAGCUGCAAUGCUGGCAAAGUACUGAAUGACUCUCUUGGUGUUAACAGUCUUUCCUGCACCGGAUUCUCCACUUGAGGCAGAAAGGCAACGACAACUUCCUGGUUGUACACUGGCAACCACUUGUAGGGGUUUACAGUGACACAGAAGAGCCCAGAGUAGGUCUGCAGAGAGAUACACCGAGGUUUGUGUCCUGCUCAUACAUGAUCAGAUGAACGUGUUCAGUUUUAGACUCAACUCACGUAAAUCAUCCAAGCUGCGUAACGCUCUUUGAGGUUAAACAGCACAGCGGGUUCAUGCAGGAAGGUGAACAUCGCCAUGUCCUCAAUUUUAUCAAACUUUGGCGGGUUCUGAGGAUGAAUAUCAGCUUCCUUCACAGUUACUGUCUGUCAGGAACAAAUAUUCAAACAUUUACUCGAACCCACAUAUUCCUCAAAUGCAGUACUAUUCACCAGAUGAACUUCAACCUACUUUGCCCUUAGAAGUCUCACAGGUGACUUUAUCACCAUCUCGACUAAUAAUAGAUGCUUUAAUGAACUCCUCUUCAGGAUCAGGGACGAAGCAUUCUUUCUUCAUGUCAAAGGGGCGAGUCUGGGCCUCCAGACGCUCAAUGUCUGAUUUCCUGAGAAACGGAGCAGCGGCUCCAAACUCCGCCAUCGCAGCAUCCCCCAUAUUUCACUGCUAAUAAUAAAAAUACUGAAUGUAUAACAUAUUUACAUUUAUGCAUUUGGCAGAUGCUUUUAUCCAAGUGCAUUUCAAUGUAUACAUUUUUGUAUCCAUAUAUGUGUUUCCUGGAUUGAUGACUGCUAAUGCAACGCUGUACCACUGAGCUACAGGAGCAUAUUUAAAACUACACAUUACUAGAUGAUGUAUGAUGAUACUGUAUCUUAUAAUCCUAUGCAUCAAAGCUCCAAUACUCUUUCAUAUAUAUUUAUCAGUUUAUCCCAAAAAAAUAAAUAUAUUUAUUUUCAAUUUAUAUGCAUGUCGCAUUGGAAAAAAAACUUUUUAUGUUACAAACAUAACAGGUUUAAAAAGAUUAAAAUUAAAUAUAUUUCCAACUGCAAAAAUAUACUUAAAAUUUUAUGUCUUUUACAUACUUUUAUACUUUGGCCAGGAGAAAUAUAUAUUUUUUGCCAUAUGGGUUUUAAAAUUAGAAAUAUAUUUGUUGCCCCUGAAAUAAUAUAUGAAGGUUAAAACAAAAUCUAUUUUUAAAUUCAAAAAUAGAUUUAUUUUCUACAAAAUGUAUUUAGCAUAUAUUUAAAACAUAAUUUGGUCCAGAUAACACUUCAGACCUCAGUCAAUCAUUACACUGUUGUUAAUGUUUUCUGAUACUGAUGCACAUUGUAAUAUUAUCUUAAACAUUUAUUUUAACACAUCAAACAAAACAUGCAUUAUCACCAAUAAACCCCAUGUAUGAAAUACAUUGCCUACCUCUGAGAUUUACCGCCCCAGAUAAUAUUGCAGACGUCACCCUAAAACAUGUGAAGUGAAAAAGUCUUUUAUCAUCAAAAACAAACCCUUGUAAGCUUCAUUAAUUUUCGAGUAUUGAAAAUGAAUUCUCUGCAUUCAUCUGUUUCAUUUAAAGAAAUACGAUCCUUUAUAUUUGCCUGUUACCUGUACACGAGCUGUAGGCUUGAGGAAGAGUUUUCUUUCACCCUGUGCUUUUCCUCUCUUUUAUAAAGCAACUAUCUCUCUAAAUAAGGGGGCUGGCAGUCUGUUAUGCCAAACUGCUGUUGUAUUUGGUUGAGCUGAGGUAGUGGGAUUAAAGUUUUUCAUAUGCAGUCAUUCACAUUGAGGUAAGCAGAAAGCCGUAUCACUGCCAGCUGCCAUCAAAUCAUGACUAAAUAAUCACAACAUAAAUCACUAAAUUAUUGCAUUGUCAUUUAUAUUUAAAUAUGUGACCCAGUCUGUAAAAACCCAGCUAAAGUAAUUUUUUGUGACUAACGUUUUUUAUAUAAAACGUUUUACAUUCUGUGAAAAUAUAACUUUGAUAAUUGACUGAGUAAGGUCAUAUCAAAGAUUGAAAUCAAACGCUAAUGCUCCAAAUCACAAAUGUAUGGAAGCCCAUUUCCGCAACAUAAGAAAAAUUGUGCUCUAGUAAAUCAUAAUUAUGAGAUAAAGAAAAGUUGAAAUUAUGACUGUUAAAGUUUGACUUUUAUCUCAUAAUUUUGAUUUACCAGAGCAUAAUUUUUUCUUAUGUGGCAGAAAUGGGCUUCCAUACAAAUGCAAUCGUGCAAUCUGAACAAAUCAUUUGAGAAGAAACUGAAAUGUUUAUUUUAGUCAUUGUUUUCUCUAACCAAUUCUUAGAUUUACAUGUGAUUGUCUGAUUAAUUUCUGAGCUGAGGUAAGUCAACUUAAUAAACUAUCUGAACUUGACAUUCAACCAUUGAGUCAGUUGUCAUUUUUUCUCUUAACACACCAACAUGCACAGAGUUAAUGGCUUGUUUAUCUAGCUUAAUAACAAUAAAAGGCAGUAAAUAGUAGAUAGUAAUUUUAGUAUCCAUUUUUUCUAAUUUUAGUGAUUUGUCUCAUGUUAUCAGAGACAAACAAUUCACAUCACAGAAGUUUGAAAUGUCACAGCUGUUGUGUGCAAACAUCACCAGUUGUCUGUCAUUGUUAGAGCAGAUUUCAGACGGGUUGAAGGUCAAUGAAAUUAAACAAUUGUUUGGUUUACUGACACAUGAUCGUCCCCACAUUUGUCUUUAGGUACAAAGAUAACCCUGUGAAAUUCCUGGAUCUUGACGCCCACAGGUUAAGCCGCAGCACCAGUAGCACAUCCAUUUAUGUCACACUUCACUGAAAGAUAAAUAUAAAUAAAUGAACCCGUGAUGACCACCUUUGUUUUAUUGCAGCGAUGAAAGCAUAAAGCAUUCCUCGAGAGUCUUACUGUAAGUAUACUGUGAAUGUUCGCACGAUCACAAGACAAGUGAGAGAAUCUAUCCUCUCCGGAGGUAUCGUCUUUCUGAGGGUCAAACCUUUGGCUGCCUUCCCAAUCCUGCUGCUUAUGUGUACUGUAUCUGUUUAUAGCAUCAUUCAGCUUUGACAUUUUAACCAGUGCAUACAUCAAAGAUAUUAAUCAUUCAUUAUGGAAGGACGUUUCGUACCGUUCACCAUUUUCUGAAGGUUAUUAUUAUAACUCAGUGUUUGCCAACGUGCAACAAGUGUGAGAAUUAAAAACAAACCAGGUGAAGACAACCAACAAGCAAAGGUCAUACCGUUUAACAUGGUGCAAGGCAAGAAUCCUACAUGGAUGAUUACUCCUGUGAUCAAGUGGAUUAACAGUCAAGAGUACAAACUUGUUUAAAGAUGAUAAAGUGACUGACCUUGUGAUGAUUUGAGAGUCAAGGGCUGUUAUCCAGAAUUGUGUAUUGGUGUCAAAUAAAUUAACCAAUCUCUGUAUACACAAACUGAAGGACCAGAAAUAUUCAUCCAGAUAAAUAUUUUAAGGAACAAAUGAAAAGAGGGGUCGUUAAAUUGUUUGAAAAUAAUGCACACCCAAGGUGGUAAUGCGGCACAACGCAAAGCAGAGUUACACCGCAGGUGUGCAUUAUUUUCAAAUAAUUCAAAGGACCAGAGUCAAUUAUUCCUCUUAUACCACGGUUACCACAAACAUUGCUCUAAUAGUUAUUUUAUGACAUAUGAAAGGUCAGGUGUGCAUUUGUAGAAAAAUAAUAGGCUGGAUCGACUUCAUGCGGCGCCGGAAGAAGUCAAACAAGCCUAUUUUUUUUUCAACCAAUCAGAAU